rnacentral:pre_miRNA from 12 species
AAGAAGAGAUGCCGAGAGAGUGUGGUUUGCUUUAGAAUUCCUACGCUUUACCGUUUCACUUGAAAGGCAAAGCGUUUGAAUUCUGAAACGAACUGCCCUUAAUUCCUGCCGAACACAGA